CAACAUUUGAGGAAGAUAUUAAACUUUGAAACUUGGGUCUUCAGUCUGGAAGUCAGCAUUUUCAGGAACCUGCUGUGCCUCCUUGAACUUCAGAAAUCCUGGCUUGGUGCUAAGGCCAGUUUCUGCUAAUAUUUGCUUGAGAAUAUCGUGUCUGAUUCCUGGCUCCCUCCAGUUUGCAAGUCUCCAGGGAAGCUGCCUGUUUGCUAGCCGAGGAGAAGGGGAGGGUAUGCCUAUGCCGUCUGAGCAUCAACCUCAAGGAGGUGCCAGGACUGACCUGAGUUCCUGGGAACCAUUCUGGGCAUGAGGAUUUACUAGGGCUUGGACCUCAUCCACCAUUGUAGCCAGAGGCCCAGAAUCAAAUUAGAUAAUGGAGACCGGAUCCAGCUUGCCCGAGGGUUUGGCAAGAAGGCAAGUGUUUGUGUGCCUGCUGGUGCUUCGCGUUGGCUUUGUGCCUGCUACAGAGAAACUCCAAGGUUGCUCUUCAUUAACGUGCGUGCAAUUGCUGUACCUCCAUCCAAAUGACGUGGUCCAGUGCCCUGGAUGGUGCAGGCAUCUCUUUAAUUGCCUAAUAAGAUCUAUGGUGAAACUAUGACUUGCCUGACCAGUCUUCUGUUUACGGAAAAGGUUAAAAAAUGAUCUAAGAACACUGUUUUGGAAAGGAACCAACUCUUACUUCAUCGGGAGUCAAAGCAAAAGGAAGAAUCCAGAAGUAUCAGUUGAAGGUAGUGAGUGGGAGUGUGUGUGUGUGUGGGAGUGUGUGUGUGUGUGUGUGGCGGGGGCACAGGGCAGGGGUGUGUUCAUAACUGAUCUGAAGGAAAACAAUUGGGAAGGGUAAAGGCCACUGAGUUUGGUUUUUGAACAGCUUGGCCUGUUUUGUGUCAGUAGACAACCUCUGAGAUUAUAUGCAAAAUCUUUCUAAACCAGGGCUAUUAUGACAUAACUGUUACCCAACCAAAUGGCAAUAUUUGCAAUAUCAGCAUGGAGCAUCCCACCUCCCAUUAUCCAACUAUCUAAAAUGCUAUUCAUUUUCCUUGGUGAGACCUUUUCUGAUUCCUCAAAUCAGAAUGUUUUGUCCUUUCAUUCGACUCCCCACAAUAUGUUGCUUGUCUACUCACCGUAGCAUUUUAUGAGGCAUAAUUUACAUACAAUAAAAUUCACUCUUUUAAAGUGCA
rnacentral:lncRNA from 1 species